rnacentral:lncRNA from 1 species
AUGUAUCAAUUUUGUGUUUGCAAGGAUGUUGCACAAUUAAGAGUAGAGUUAUAUAGAAGGGAUAGAAAUUUUUUUUUGUAAGAUAUUGGUAAAGUAGAUUAAUCAUUUUUAGGAUAGUUAGUUCAGUAGGACAAGUGAUUGAUUUAGUUAUAAAAAAUAAUUAAGUAGAGAAUGAUAGUUAGAAUUUAGAAUUUCAGAAG